GACGAACGCUGGCGGCGUGCUUAACACAUGCAAGUCGAACGGAAAGGCCCUGCUUUUGUUGGGUGCUCGAGUGGCGAACGGGUGAGUAACACGUGAGUAACCUGCCCUUGACUUUGGGAUAACUUCAGGAAACUGGGGCUAAUACCGGAUAGGAGCUCCUGCUGCUUGGUGGGGGUUGGAAAUUUUCGGCGGUUGGGUAUGGACUCGCGGCUUAUCAGCUUGUUGGUGGGGUAGUGGCUUACCAAGGCUUUGACGGGUAGCCGGCCUGAGAGGGUGACCGGCCACAUUGGGACUGAGAUACGGCGCAGACUCGUACGGUAGGCAGCAGUGGGGAAUAUUGCACAAUGGGCGGAAGCCUGAUGCAGCAGCGCCGCGUGCGGGAUGAAGGCCUUCGGGUUGUAAACCGCUUUCGCCUGUGACGAAGCGUGAGUGACGGUAAUGGGUAAAGAAGCACCGGCUAACUACGUG
rnacentral:rRNA from 1 species